AAAAAACACAAGGGGUAACACUGUUGUUUUUUAUUGGUUGUCAUGAAAAAAAACAUAAGUGGUAACACUGUUGUUUUUUAUUGGUCGUCAUGAAAAAAAACAUAAAGGGUAUCACUGUUUUUUAUUGGUCGUCAUGAAAAAAAACAUAAGGGGUAACUCUGUCGUUUUUUAUUGGUCGUCAUGAAAAAAAAACACAAAGGGGUAACACUGUUGUUUUUUAUUGGUCGUCAUGAAAAAAAACAUAAGGGGUAACACUGUUGUUUUUUAUGGGUCGUCAUGAAAAAAAAAACACAGGGGGUAACACUGUUGUUUUUUAUUGGUUGUCAUGAAAAUAAAACAUAAGGGGUAACACUGUUGUUUUUUAUUGGUCAUCAUGAAAAAAAACAUAAGGAAAUAAUAGAAAUACACACAUACAUUUUAAUGUCAUGUAUAUCCUCUUUAUUGACGAUUGAUUAUUGUGUUUUGUCAUCGCCUCAGUGGUGCAGUGGAGUGCACUCUGCCUGACCCUCUGGAGACCGGGGUUCAAGUCCGGGUGAUGUCUUCUGUUGGAAGACUCUAAACUCUAUUUCAUGCGAAUUAUAAAGUCAAGUAUAUCCUUUGUAUUGACUGUAUCCGGUGUCUUGAUGGUGCAUUGUUAAGUUCGGAGGUUAACACUCUAAACAGCUCAGGUUUGUAUCCCCGCAAAAACGUCAACAGGGGUGCCACUGUCGUUUUUUAUUGGUCAACAUGGAAGAAACAUGAGGGGUAACUGUCGUUUUUUAUCGGGCGUCAUGAAAUCAACUGAAAUCACUGUUGUUUUUUAUUGGUCGUCAGGAAAAAAAACAUCGGGGGUAACACGGUUGUUUUUUAUUGGUCGUCAUGAAAAAAAACAUAAGGGGUAACACUGUCGUUUUUUAUUGGUCAUCAUGAAAAAAACCAUAAGGGGUAACCCUGUUGUUUUUUAUUGGUCGUCAUGAAAAAAAACAUAAGGGGUAACACUGUCGUUUUUUUAUUGGUCGUCAUGAAAAAAAACAAAGUAAAUAAUAGAAAUACACAAAUACAUUUUAAUGUCAUGUAUAUCCUCUUUAUUGAUGAUUGAUUUAUGUGUAUUGUCAUCGCCUCAGUGGUGCAGUGGAGUGCACUCUGCCUAGCCCCCUGGAGACCGGGGUUCAAGUCCGGUUGAGCCUGUCGUGAAAAAAAACACAAGGGUGUAACCGUCAAUUUUCUUUGGUCAUCAUGAAAAAAACAAUAAGGGGUAACCCUGUUGUUUUUUAUUGGUCGUCAUGAAAAAAAACAUAAGGGGUAACUCUGUCGUUUUUUAUCGGCCGUCAUGAAAAAAACCAUAAGGGGUAACCCUGUUGUUUUUUAUUGGUCGUCAUGAAAAAAAACAUAAGGGGUAACUCUGUCGUUUUUUAUUGGUCAUCAUGAAAAAAACCAUAAGGGGUAACCCUGUUGUUUUUUAUUGGUCGUCAUGAAAAAAAACAUAAGGGGGGUAACUGUCGUUUUUUAUCGGCCGUCAUGAAAAAAAACAUAAGGGGUAACACUGUCGUUUUUUAUUGGUCAUCAUGAAAAAAACCAUAAGGGGUAACCCUGUUGUUUUUUAUUGGUCGUCAUGAAAAAAAACAUAAGGGGUAACACUGUCGUUUUUUAUUGGUCGUCAUGAAAAAAAACAAUAAGGGGUAACACUGUUGUUUUUUAUUGGUCGUCAUGAAAAAAAACAAAGGGUAACACUGUUGUCUUUGUCAAAUAAAAUAUAAGGGGUAACACUCGUUUUUUUAUUGGUCGUCAUGAAAAAAAACAAAGGAAAUAAUAGAAAUACACAAAUACAUUUUAAUGUCAUGUAUAUCCUCUUUAUUGAUGAUUGAUUAAUGUGUAUUGUCUUCGCCUCAGUGGUGCAGUGGAGUGCACUCUACCUAGCUCCCUGGAGACCGGGGUUCAAGUCCGGUAGAGCCCGUCAUGAAUAAAAACACAAUGGUGUGCACGUUAUUUUUCUUUGGUCAUCAUGAAAAAAACCAUAAGGGGUAACCCUGUUGUUUUUUGUUGGUCGUCACUCGUCAUGAAAAAAAACAUAAGGGGUAACUCUGUCGUUUUUUAUCGGCCGUCAUGAAAUAAACAUAAGGGGUAACACUUUCGAUAUUUAUCAAAUAAAACAUAGGGGGUAACACCAUUGUUUUUCUUUGGUUGUCAUGAAAAAAAAACAUAAGGGGUAACACUGUUGUUUUUUAUUGGUUGUCAUGAAAAAAACAUAAGGGGUAACUGUUGUUUUUUAUUGGUCGUCAUGAAAAAAAACAUAAGGGGUAACACUGUCGUUUUUAUCAAAUGAAACAUGAGGGGUGACACUGUCGUUUUUCUUUGGUCAUCAUGAAAAAAACCAUAAGGGGUAACACUGUCGUUUUUUAUUGGUCGUCAUGAAAAAAAACAAGGGGUAACACUGUCGUUUUUUAGUGGUCGUCAUGAAAGAAAACACAAGGGGUAACACUGUUGUUUUGUAUUGGUCGUCAUGAAAAAAAACAUAAAGGGUAACACUGUUGUCUUUGUCAAAUAAUAAAAUAUUAGGGGUAACACAGUCGUAUUUUAUUGGUCGUCAUGAAAAAAAACCAUUAGAAAACAAAUAAAUAAUUGGCCUUGUCAAAUAAAAUAUAAGGGGUAAUACUGUUGUUUUUCAUCAGUCAUCAUGGGAAAAAAACAGAAGGGGUAACACUGUCGUUUCUAUCAAAUGAAACGUAAAGGGUAACACUGUCGUUUUUUAUCUGUCGUCU
ensembl:lncRNA